CUAGCGAUUGGGGUGAAGUCGUAACAAGGUAUCCGUACGGGAACGUGCGGAUGGAUCACCUCCUUUCUAUGGAGAUAUUUAUAUUACUGACUAUUUAAUUCUAUUUAGUUUUCAGAGAUCGUCACACAUCUUUAAAUAYAGAUUGUUCUUUGAAAACUGAAUAUUAGAUGAAAUGCAAUUUUCUGAUUAUAACAAUAUUUAUAAUUAGAUAAUUAUUACGAUAUUAAAUUCGUAAUGACAUCAAAAACA
rnacentral:misc_RNA from 1 species